rnacentral:rRNA from 1 species
GACGUAGGGCGCGAGCGUUGUCCGGAUUUAUUGGGCGUAAAGAGCUCGUAGGCGGCUUGUCGCGUCGACUGUGAAAACCCGCGGCUCAACUGCGGGCCUGCAGCCGAUACGGGCAGGCUAGAGUUCGGUAGGGGAGACUGGAAUUCCUGGUGUAGCGGUGAAAUGCGCAGAUAUCAGGAGGAACACCGGUGGCGAAGGCGGCAUCCUGGACCGACACUGACGCUGAGGCGCGAAAGCUAGGGUAGCAAACGGG